GAUGAACGCUGGCGGCGUGCCUAAUACAUGCAAGUCGAGCGAACAGACGAGGAGCUUGCUCCUCUGACGUUAGCGGCGGACGGGUGAGUAACACGUGGAUAACCUACCUAUAAGACUGGGAUAACUUCGGGAAACCGGAGCUAAUACCGGAUAAUAUAUUGAACCGCAUGGUUCAAUAGUGAAAGACGGUUUUGCUGUCACUUAUAGAUGGAUCCGCGCCGCAUUAGCUAGUUGGUAAGGUAACGGCUUACCAAGGCAACGAUGCGUAGCCGACCUGAGAGGGUGAUCGGCCCACCUGGAACUGAGACACGGUUCAGACUCCUAAGGGAGGCAGCAGUAGGGAAUCUUCCGCCAUGGGCGAAAGCCUGACGGAGCAACGCCGCGUGAGUGAUGAAGGUCUUCGGAUCGUAAAACCCUGUUAUUAGGGAAGAACAAAUGUGUAAGUAACUAUGCACGUCUUGACGGUACCUAAUCAGAAAGCCACGGCUAACUACGUG
rnacentral:rRNA from 1 species